CAAUAGCGUAUAUUAAAGUUGUUGCAGUUAAAAAGCUCGUAGUUGAAUCUUGGGAGCGGGUGGGCUAGCGAGCCACAGCCCGUCCCUGCUUCUUGCCUCUCGGUGCCCCCUGGAUGCUCUUAGCUGAGUGUCCUGUGGCCCGAAGCACUUACUUUGAAAAAAUUAGAGUGUUCAAAGCAGGCCCAAGCCGCCUGGAUACUGCAGCUUGGAAUAAUGGAAUAGGACCACAGUUCUAUUUUGUUGGUUUUCGGAACUGAGGCCAUGAUUAAGAGGGACGGCCGGGGGCAUUCAUAUUGCACCGCUAGAGGUGAAAUUCUUGGACUGGCAGUUUAGACCAGAGCGAAAGCAUUUGCCAAGAAUGUUUNCAUUAA
rnacentral:rRNA from 1 species